UGCGCCUGCGGCGGACCCGGCACGGAAGAUUUCGACGGCUUCGCAGGCAGCCCUUCCGUGUACGGCCCGGUAUAUCCCAUAAUUAAUGGGAUUUAACGAUUUC
rnacentral:sRNA from 1 species